GGUCCUGUGGUCUAGUGGUUCCCGUCUGCCUUUAUAGACAACGGUCUCAGAUGACGCCGGCCUCACACGCUGGAAAUCGAGGGUCCGAUCCCCUCCAGGACCA
rnacentral:tRNA from 1 species